rnacentral:rRNA from 1 species
GAUGAACGCUGGCGGCGUGCCUAAUACAUGCAAGUCGAGCGAACGGAUAAGAAGCUUGCUCCUCUGAUGUUAGCGGCGGACGGGUGAGUAACACGUGGAUAACCUACCUAUAAGACUGGGAUAACUUCGGGAAACCGGAGCUAAUACCGGAUAACAUUUUGAACCGCAUGGUUCAAUAGUGAAAGGCGGCCUUGCUGUCACUUAUAGAUGGAUCCGCGCCGAAUUAGCUAGUUGGUAAGGUAACGGCUUACCAAGGCAACGAUACGUAGCCGACCUGAGAGGGUGAUCGGCCACACUGAAACUGAGACACGGCCCAGACUCCUACGGGAGGCAGCAGUGGGAAAUCUCCCGCAAUGGGCGAAAGCCGAACGAGGAAACGCCGCGGAGGUGAUGAGGGUCUCGGGAUGGUAAAACUCGGUAAUCAGGAAAAACAAAAUGGGAAAUAACUGGUGCACACCUGAACGGUACCAAACCAGAAACCAAGGCCAAAUUCCUG